rnacentral:rRNA from 1 species
GGGCCCGCACAAGCGGUGGAGCAUGUGGUUUAAUUCGAGGCAACGCGAAGAACCUUACCCAGACUUGACAUCCCAGGACCGCCUAUGAAAGUAGGUUUUCCCUUCGGGGACCUGGAGACAGGUGUUGCAUGGCUGUCGUCAGCUCGUGUCGUGAGAUGUUGGGUUAAGUCCCGCAACGAGCGCAACCCUUGUCCUUAGUUACCAGCGGGUUAUGCCGGGCACUCUGAGGAGACUGCCGAUGAUAAGUCGGAGGAAGGUGGGGACGACGUCAAGUCAUCACGGCCCUUACGUCUGGGGCUACACACGUGCUACAAUGGUCGGUACAGAGGGACGCAAGAUCGCGAGAUGGAGCCAAUCCCAAAAAGCCGGCCUCAGUUCGGAUUGCAGUCUGCAACUCGACUGCAUGAAGUCGGAAUCGCUAGUAAUCGUGGGUCAGCUACACCACGGUGAAUACGUUCCCGGGCCUU